GAUGAAGAACGCAGCGAAAUGCGAUAAGUAAUGUGAAUUGCAGAAUUCAGUGAAUCAUCGAAUCUUUGAACGCACAUUGCGCCCCCUGGUAUUCCGGGGGGCAUGCCUGUCCGAGCGUCAUUACAACCCUCAAGCUCAGCUUGGUGUUGGGCCCCGCCGCCCCGGCGGGCCCUAAAGUCAGUGGCGGUGCCGUCCGGCUCCGAGCGUAGUAAUUCUUCUCGCUCUGGAGGUCCGGUCGUGUGCUUGCCAGCAACCCCCAAUUUUUUUCAGGUUGACCUUGGAUCAGGUAGGGAUACCCGCUGAACUUAAGCAUAUCAAUAAGCGGAGGA
rnacentral:misc_RNA from 1 species